AAGGGUAAAGAAAACUCAGAGGUUAAGAGAUGGUUACAGCUUCAUGCCCCUGCCUACUCCAAUAGUAGAAGACAGUAUGUGUAACUGCCUUGGCCAUCAUGCAGUUAGUGGGUGCAACAAGACCACAAGUGAAUAAUCCACCAGCUGAAAUCAUCAGGUCUCCAGGAAUGGAAAGCUUUGGGACAUUCUUUCCAGUAAGAGUAGGAGCCUCUGAACUCUGAACUUUCCACCCACAGAGCUCCAUAAGGAUUUGUGUGUAUGCCAUUUGGAACUUAGACAUGGAAAAAUAAUCUUUUAGUAUGGCUCUGAUACUGAAAAUAAUAGGUGACGUUCAAGUAAAAAUUAAAUAAAACAACCAAGUUCCCUGCACAUAUGUCUGAUUAGGCAGGCCAAAUAUUCUAUGGGAAACAUUAAUUCAACCAGA
rnacentral:lncRNA from 10 species